rnacentral:rRNA from 1 species
ACGGAGGAGCACGAAGGUGGGCUAAGCAUGGUCGGACAUCAUGCGGUUAGUGUAAUGGCAUAAGCCCGCUUAACUGCGAGACAGACACGUCGAGCAGGUACGAAAGUAGGUCAUAGUGAUCCGGUGGUUCUGUAUGGAAGGGCCAUCGCUCAACGGAUAAAAGGUACUCCGGGGAUAACAGGCUGAUACCGCCCAAGAGUUCACAUCGACGGCGGUGUUUGGCACCUCGAUGUCGGCUCAUCACAUCCUGGGGCUGAAGCCGGUCCCAAGGGUAUGGCUGUUCGCCAUUUAAAGUGGUACGCGAGCUGGGUUUAGAACGUCGUGAGACAGUUCGGUCCCUAUCUGCCGUGGACGUUGGAAAAUUGAGAAGAGCUGCUCCUAGUACGAGAGGACCGGAGUGGACGAACCUCUGGUGUUCGGGUUGUCAUGCCAAUGGCAUUGCCCGGUAGCUAUGUUCGGACAGGAUAACCGCUGAAGGCAUCUAAGCGGGAAGCCCCCUUCAAGAUAAGUUUUCCCUGAUUCCUUGAGAAUCCUAAAGGGCCCUUAAAGACUAUGAGGUUGAUAGGCUGGGUGUGUAAGCGUUGUGAGGCGUUGAGCUAACCAGUACUAAUUGCCCGUGAGGCUUGACUAUAUAACGCCAAAG